rnacentral:rRNA from 1 species
GACGAACGCUGGCGGCGUGCUUAACACAUGCAAGUCGAACGGUGACGAGGAGCUUGCUCCUCUGAUCAGUGGCGAACGGGUGAGUAACACGUGAGCAACCUGCCCCAGACUCUGGGAUAACAGUUGGAAACAGCUGCUAAUACCGGAUACGAGACGGAGAGGCAUCUCUACCGUCUGGAAAGUUUUUCGGUCUGGGAUGGACUCGCGGCCUAUCAGCUAGUUGGUGAGGUAAUGGCUCACCAAGGCGACGACGGGUAGCCGGCCUGAGAGGGCGACCGGCCACACUGGGACUGAGACACGGCCCAGACUCCUACGGGAGGCAGCAGUGGGGAAUAUUGCACAAUGGGCGAAAGCCUGAUGCAGCGACGCCGCGUGAGGGAUGAAGGCCUCGGUUGUAACUCUUCUAGCAGGAGAAGCGAAAGUGACGGUACCGUGCAGAAGAAGCACCGGCUAACUACGUGCCAGCAGCCGCGGUAAACGU